rnacentral:lncRNA from 1 species
UAGUGAUCAAAAUAUAUCUCACUACUAGAUAGAAUAGAACCUAUGGGGUCACGCACAUAAGAGGUUGUGAUUGAUCGGAUAGCUAGAUCGCGAUUAUUGAAUCGCUGGAGGCUCUAAUUGUCAAUAUGUUGAUAAUUGGACUAAUUUGUAAUUGUUACAAAAUAGUGGUAUUAAAGUAUAAAUGUUACUAGAGAGGACUUAUUAAUAGUUAGUAAAUUAUAAGAGGACUUAUGUGCAAAUAUUGUAUUAUU